UUCCGAGGAUUUACCCGCUAAAACAAACCCGGUUUUCCACCAUCUCACCGUGCUCUCAAGUGAUAAUCCAAACUAUCCGUGUAGCUCUGUUGCGUUCAAGGCCUGUGGUACCGCGGGCUUUUGUGGUCCAACAAAGGUGGGUAACUCACUAAAGAGGCGUUGUUUUAACCCGGGAACAGCGAACAUGAGCGGAUGAGGAUUGGGUUUGUCUCUCCGGAUUAAACGAUUUCCUGACUGAUAAUUUGGACCAACCCCCCUGCCGUAGCAAAGACAGAGAGGCCUGAAUUUCUCCAAAUCCUUCAAGUCAAUUAUUAUUCUACGUAUUUUGACAUUAUUUUGCAUUGUUUUUAUUUUUUAAAUAAUGAAAUGAGUGGCUUAAACACGUGAUUUAACGAGGCGUAAAACUAGGCCUAAAAAUAAAUGUUUUUUCAUACAAAUAACCCACAUUUUUAAUGAGCUUAUCUCUGUUUUUAUUCAUGUUGUCAUACACCCAUAGAUAAUACUGAUAGGCCUUUUCAAUAAACAUUUGAUAGAUUUUUGUUAUUACUGUUAAGCUUCUUGUAAUUUUGAUUAAAUCACAGAUAUAAGCCUAAUGUUACUCAAAAAAUACUAUAUGUUGCAAACCACCACGCUUGUCCUCAUCACAAUGCCUCUUAAAGAUGUGAUGCAUGUUUGGUUGAUUUCUUUGGAUCCAUGGAGGCCUUCACAGCUCGUUGCGGGCCUGCAGGCCUCUGGCUCCUUUAGUUUGUGGGGACCCGUAGGCCACAGUGAUGUUUAAUGUAAAGAAAAAGAGUGAGACAGAUACUGUUGGAUUUUCCUCUUAAACUCAAGGCUUUUUUAAUAUGCCCCUAAACCUAUUUGAACAGAAAUCUAUUACUCUAUAAUAGUUGAUAAUCCUAUUCUUAUAGUUAAUUCAUUUUCACUUGUAUCUAUCUUCAUUUUCAGAUAUUAAACCUGCUGGCACACAUCAAAGGGACUAUUUGGUGCAUCCUCCCAGCCCCCCAUCCCGGGAUUAGUUUUAGUCAGCUGAUGCAGUUGAGGCUGCAGCUCUGCUCGAGAUGCUGCAGGAUCAAAUGUCCACGUCCAGAUGGCUAAUGAUUAUCGAAUACAGCAUUUUUAAAGCCUGC